UGAUCAAAUAAAGUGUUAGCUCACUUUUCUUACUUCCUCAUUCACAUGAAGUGGUUGGUUGUCAGUGAUUAUAUAAAGACCUGUUGUUUUCACACUCUUCAGUGGAUCAGCCAUGGACAAAGGUUUGCUGCUGGUCCUGUUGUGUCUGCAGGUCGUCCUGCUCACCACAGUCUUCACUUCUGCUGAUGCAGCCGCUCUGCUGAGAGAUGAUCAGCAUCAACAACCUGUUGAUCCAAUCAGAAGUCUGCAGGUAACUUUGAUUGUGUUGUUUUGGCCUGUUGAGUAGAGGACAGUUUUGUCUGUGUGUAUUAAUCUGUUGAUCCGAUGAGAAGUCUGCAGCAAGUGAAACAAAGAGGACGCUGUGGGAGGAGAGAAGGAGCAUGCAGUUUGACAGCACUACUGCAAGGUUCUAAACUACAUGUUUUCCAGUUCAAGCCACACCCAACAGACGUCCAGAAUCAAGCUCUGCAGGAAGUGCCAUUAGAUGCAAACUAUUACCCUGAAUGAAGAUAAUUGUAAUGCUUACAGAACAGUGCAAAUGCUUUUAAUCAGAAAUAAAAGAUUUCACAUCAGAUAUUGCGUUUUUCUUUUCUUUUUUUUUUUUUUUUUUUUGCUUUCCACACAGUUCCACAUGGAAGGCCGUUUCCGCCACUUCAAAAAAAAAAAAAGUCAUAUGCAAUCUCAUAGUUAUGACUUACUAUCUCAUAAUUAUGACAUUGUGUCUCAUAAUUUUGAGAUAGCAUGUGACCUUUUUUUUUUUGUUGUUCAAGUGGUGGAAACGGCCUUCCAUAGUUCUGGAUGGUGACCAAAACAAACAGGACUCGCUGUCUUCUGACUGAAU
ensembl:lncRNA